CAAGCCCUGCAGAACUCAUUUAAACAGCAAGGAAGGAGAUCCAGAAGCAAAAAUCUGUUGUGAUGAGUCAAGCUGCACAUCUGGAAAUAAAGGACAACACCAUCCAGGAGUUACAGGACAAAUUACAAAACAAAAUGGAGGAAACUAAAAUGCUUGUCCAAGCAUUUGCUGAAGGAAUGGAUGCAGACUGGAUAGAUGACCAAGAAGGACAAGCAGGUCCAUCUUACAGUGCACAUGACAAGCUCACUCACCAUGAGGCCACCUGAUCAGAUGCCAGCACCUUGCCGAUGAACCACUUCCCAGAUGUACAAAUACUGUUCUAUAGAAAGCUGUUUCUUAAUUUUUGGUAAUAAACUAUUUCUUGGACAUGUCAAUUACUGUUAUUAAUGUGUAAUAUUGUUUUUUUGGGCUAAAUUAAUUAGAUAUAUUUAAAAUGCUCUUUUUGGAUUUCCUUUGAGUUGUUCUUAACAUUGGUA